rnacentral:tRNA from 1 species
UCCCCUGUAGCUCAAUGGUAGAGCGUCCGACUGUUAAUCGGUAGGUUCGAGGUUCGAAUCCUCGCGGGGGAG